GACGAACGCUGGCGGCGUGCUUAACACAUGCAAGUCGAACGGAAAGGCCCUGCUUUUGUGGGGUGCUCGAGUGGCGAACGGGUGAGUAACACGUGAGUAACCUGCCCUUGACUUUGGGAUAACUUCAGGAAACUGGGGCUAAUACCGGCUAGGAGCUCCUGCUGCAUGGUGGGGGUUGGAACGUUUCGGCGGAUGGGGAUGGACUGGCGGCUUAUCAGCUUGUUGGUGGGGUAGGGGCUUACCAAGGCUUUGACGGGUAGCCGGCCUGAGAGGGUGACCGGCCACAUGGGGACUGAGAUACGGCCCAGACUCCUACGGGAGACAGCAGUGGGGAAUAUUGCACAAUGGGCGGAAGCCUGAUGCAGCAACGCCGCGUGCGGGAUGACGGCCUUCGGGUUGUAAACCGCUUUCGCCUGUGACGAAGCGUGAGUGACGGUAAUGGGUAAAGAAGCACCGGCUAACUACGUG
rnacentral:rRNA from 1 species